rnacentral:rRNA from 1 species
AUUGAACGCUGGCGGAAUGCUUUACACAUGCAAGUCGAACGGCAGCACGGGGCAACCUGGUGGCGAGUGGCGAACGGUGAGUAAUACAUCGGAACGUGCCCAAUCGUGGGGGAUAACGUAGCGAAAGUUACGCUAAUACCGCAUACGAUCUACGGAUGAAAGCGGGGGAUCGCAAGACCUCGCGCGAGUGGAGCGGCCGAUGUCAGAUUAGGUAGUUGGUGGGGUAAAGGCUCACCAAGCCAACGAUCUGUAGCUGGUCUGAGAGGACGACCAGCCACACUGGAACUGAGACACGGUCCAGACUCCUACGGGAGGCAGCAGUGGGGAAUUUUGGACAAUGGGCGCAAGCCUGAUCCAGCCAUUCCGCGUGCAGGAUGAAGGCCUCGGUUGUAAC